ACCCAUAUUCUGUCAAAUCCCGCCUGCUUUGCUCGGAUUGGCUAUGAGCGCUUCUGAGACUUCACGGAUUGGACGGUUCAGGAAGAUUAUUUAACAGCUGACGUUGAAUAAGGCGGAAGUUGACACAAUAUGGGUAGGAAAAAAAACUCGCCCGUGAGCAACGCCUCCAACUGAGACUUAAGCUAUGUGUUUCAGCGCUAAUCCAGCAGGUGGCGCUGCACAACAGUGAGGUGUGUUAGAGAGCGGAAAAUGUUUUUAUAAAUGCGAUUUUUGAAAGAAUUUAUUCAAAAUUAAGAGAGAGAGAGGGAGAGAGAGAGAGAGAGAGAGAGAGAGAGAGAGAGAGAUAAACACACACAUUGUAUUGUAUUUUCCCUGUUUGCCAGGAGAUGGUGAGAUGUUCUAGGCUUAUACACACACUUACAGCUUACAUCAUCAUUCAUCUGUGUAACUAAUAAAAGCAGGACAUUGGGGCUGGAAGUCUGGAUCAGGACUCUAACAGUGUUAAAGUCGCUCGGUUGAUGUGAACUCACGUCACGGUGACGAUCUUUCCCACACACACGUGCAGCCCACGGUGACCCUGUGGAAAUGUACAGUGAAGCACUUCCUGUUCUUUGGGUCCUGUUUGAGCACCAGCAUGUAGCUGUAUAUAGGGAUCCUGUGGGUGCUGACGUGAGGUCUGUGGAGCAGAAACAACACAACGUCAGGACAAAACCUGCUCUGGAUCAGGACGUUCACACAGCGGCUCGACUUGAGUCCUGGCCUCUGAUUGGUCCUCAGGUGGUGAUGAAUUCUCUCUAACAGCAGCUCUGACUGUAGAGCAGGUUUAUAUUAAUGUACUCACUCUCAUACACUAUCGUUUCUAUGGUAACAGCUCAUACUACUUGCCUCGUUACCUCAACUUGAUAAGUUUAAUCUGCUAUUUAAAAUAAUCACUGAUGUGCUGAAGCUUUCAUGUGUGUCAUGUAUGGAAGGAGUCUCCAGUGUCAGUGCUCUGUACCAGUCAGGUGAAGCUCCACCACCAUGACAGCACCAGGGUAUAAACUGUAGCUAGGAGAAGUUGGAGUGUUAACAGUCUUCAUGUUAGCAUUAGCAUUAGUGUUAGCUUAAUGUUAGUAUCCAGGAAGUUACUUACAUCCACUUCCAGGCAGACAGAGAGCGGUUGUUGAUGUUGCCGUUU